GAUGAACGCUGGCGGCGUGCCUAACACAUGCAAGUCGAACGAAGCACUGAGACUUCGGUUUUUGUGCUUAGUGGCGGACGGGUGAGUAACGCGUGAGCAAUCUGCCUUUCAGAGGGGGAUAACGAUGGGAAACGAUCGCUAAUACCGCAUAACGUAUUCGGAUGGCAUCAUCUGAAUACCAAAGUAGCAAUCCGCUGAAACAUGGGAUCGCGUCUGAUUAGAUAGUUGGUGAGGUAACGGCCAACCAAGUCGACGAUCAGUAGCCGGACUGAGAGGUUGAACGGCCACAGUGGGACUGAGACACGGCCCAGACUCCUACGGGAGGCAGCAGUGGGGAAUAUUGCGCAAUGGGGGAAACCCUGACGCAGCAACGCCGCGUGAUUGAAGAAGGUCUUCGGAUUGUAAAAAUCUUUUAUCAAGGACGAAGAAGUGACGGUACUUGAUGAAUAAGCUCCGGCUAACUACGUGCCAGCCGCCGCCGUAA
rnacentral:rRNA from 1 species